CAGUCAGUCAGUCCCUCUGUGUUCCUGCCAGGACAGGACAGAAGGACAGGACAAGCAUUUCGCUACACCAGCAAUAACAUCUGCUAAUAUGUAACCCAGAGGAGAGUAUUAUGAUCAGGCAGGUCUGUGGACGGCCCUGGACAGCCUGCGGGUCCUUCUCUCCUGCCUCUCAUGUUUCUCUCCUGUGUCACAAAGCUGAUUUCCAUGCUCCUGUGGCCGCUUCCGAUUCUGACUGACACCAUUGUGAUUUUUAAAAGGCUGGAGACGCUGCACCAGUUGCCACGGCAUCACUGAGGGGUCAAACACAGUUCAGGUGUCUUACAGGUUUGAGGACUCCUGGGGUGUGUGAUGCAGACCGUGGACAGGCUGAGCCAGCAGCAAUUGUAUAAUACUGACAUAAAAUGAGGAUGUGGAUUAAAUUGUAAAAAAAAAAAAAAAAUGGGUCCGGGUUAAAUUCUGUUUAUCAUUCAAUGCCUGUUCUGAUGUUUACACAACCAUGUGCAAUUACAAGAUCAGCAAACAAUGGAAAAUAAAAUAAACAAUUACAAUGUA